CUUUUCCUAGCCAAGGGAAGCCGUUACAGAUGGUACCUGGAAAAUUGGGACACUCCCACCCUAAUACUGUGCUUUUCCAAUGGUCUUAGCAAACAGCACACCAGGAGAUUAUAUCCCACGCAUGACUUGGAGGGUCCCAUGCCCAUGGAGCCUUGCUCACUGCUAGCACAGCAGUCCAAGAUUGAAUUGCAAGGUGGCAGUGAGUCUGGGGGAGGGGCAUCCACCAUUGCUGAGGCUUGACUAGGUAAACAAAGUGGCGGGAAGCUCGAACUAGGUGGAGCCCACCGCAGCCCACCUCUGUAGACUCGAACUGAGUGGAGCCCACCACUGCCCGCCUCUGUAGACUCCAUCUCUGGGGGCAGGGCAUAGCGGAACAAAAGGCAGCAGAAGCUUCUGCAGACUUAAACAUCCUUUUCUGACAGCUUUGAGGAGAGUAGUGGUUCUCCAAGCAUGGACUUUGAGAUCUGAGAAUGGACAGACUGCCUCCUCAAGUGGGUCCCUGACCCCCGAGAAGCCUAACUGGGAGACACCUCCCAGUGGGGGCCGACUGACACCUCAUACAGCCGGAUCCCCCUCUGAGAUGAAGCUUCCAGAGGAAGGAUCAGGGAGUACAUUUCCUGUUCUGCAAUAAGUUUUGCAGGAAAAGAAGAAAGCUGAAAACACACUGAGGAUUAUGGGAGAGGGGCAAGUGCAUGAAGCUUCUCAAUGACAUACAGACACUCUAAAAGCUCAAGAGAUCAAUUAUUCAACUUCAAGAACUGAAAUUUGAACACAGAUUUUGAGCUUCCAAAUCAGGAGAAAAAGAAGUGUUCUAUAAGAAGUUUGGACAAGACUCUGCAAGAAGUUAAGAGGUCCUUAAAGGCAACUGUGAAUUAACGGAGACUAGUUUUGAGAAAAUCAGUCCUGAUUUGUUUCUCCUGGAGUUUUCUUCUUUAUGUGAUCCUUCAUAAAAGCUGCUAAUAUGGGAAAGAUUGAAAUCAGCAAGUUUCUGGCUGUAAGCUAAAAGAGGCUCUUGAAUCAUAUUUCCGCCUGCUUAGCAAAUUUCUCUUGCGACAAUUGGAUGUUAUUUGGGGUUCCAUACUAGCAGGAAGAAGUACAAGCAAAGCUAAGUCAUUUUGAGAAUAAAUAUUAUCUCUCUAUAUAUUUGUAAAUGUUAUUUUCUUUUUUUUUGAGGUUUAUGAUUGAUCCUUGGCAUGUGUCCCCUUGUGUAUUGCUCUACUAAAAAUAGCCUAAAAAAGAAUUUUCCCCUCGAUGUGGAGCUUCUCUUUAGUUACAAUUCUACUUUCUCCUUCACUUGAGUAUCAGUCUUCAGAGAACUACCAUAACAAAGGAGUGGAUACAGAUAUACGCAAAAAAGUCUAUGAGAAAAUUAGUACAUUAAAUUUGUGAAAGCUCAUUUAAAGUAAUUUUCUACUAACAAUUUUAAUCAAAUGUAUUAAUCAUAUUUCUAUGCUUAGUGAUGUUAAAUAAAAAUUUAAAAGGUGGCAAUCAAUAAACAGAGAUAAAAGCUUCUCAAGAAUAAAUGAAAGGAAGUAAUAAAAAGACUCACUAAGCUGAAUUGCCUCCUAUCAACAGCAGCUGAUAAAAUAUUAAAAGAUUUGCCUUGUGUAAUGUCUCUGGAGAGCUGUCUUACUGAUGUACGAGGCCAUGAUUGACAACUUUGAGACUUUGCUGGAAGCGACAAAAGUAUAUCUAUAAUAUUAUGCUGAAUUGCAUAGGUCUUUCUUCUUAAAUGAGGCUAGAAAUAACAUACCACCAAGUGUUUGGCUUUUAGGAAAUUGAGCAUUUUCUUUAGUUCUAGCUGCAGUUUAAUUUCCUCAGAAUUAGACAUUAUGCGGUAUCUGGAACGUUAAAAAAAAAAAAAAGCAAAAACAGAGUAUUGUACCUAAUGAUAUGUCAAAUAAUUUUGGAGGAAUUAAGAAAUCACUGGAAGAAAUUACAUGGGUGGGUAAUGGUUUUUAUGUCACAAUAAAUAAUUAGUAAUAUUUACUGACACAUUUCAUGUGCCUGGUACUGAGCUAAAUGAUUUAUGUGCAUUGUUUGUAUUAAGCCCCCAAAAUUCUGUGGUAUAUGUAAUGAUAUUUCCAUUUUUCUUGAGAUAAGGAACUGAAACUCAGAAAAGUUAAGGAACUUGUCCAAGAUUAUAGUAAGUGGCUUAGUUCAAUUUUGAAUCUAGAUCAAUCUGACUCCAACCAGCAUGAUGAACUGAAACUGACUAUGAGGCUGGUGACACUCUAGGCAUUUAUUCACAAGAGGUAUUGUGAUGACAUGUGAGAGAAUGUUGGAUGAAGGAAGCACAUACUAGAAAGAUAGGAAAGACCAGAAAACACAGGGAAGUGCUAUUUAUUUGCUUUCCUAGUUCCAGUAACUUGGUCUAAUGGGGAGGAUGAAAGUAGACAGAUACCUGAAAACACUUUGAGAUUUAUGUAUAAGCAGCAUGACUUCAGUGACCAAGCCACACAGAAUCUGGGAGUGGAACAUUUUCUUUGGUCAUUAUGCCACUGCGGCAUGGUUUGUUAGUGCAGUGAGAACUAAAGUAUAGUGUGGUAACCUGAAACUGUUAUGGUUAUGGGUACACCUGGGUGGGUAGCUGUUCACCCCUUCACAGAGGGUAGGAGUGGUGAUAGCAAAGUAGCUCUUCGCAGUAACUUUCAGAACAUAGACAUUAUGUAAGAUCUGAAGUUUGAAAACCUGAAACAAAAGCAGAGCAUUAUAUCCAAGCACAUUGGAGACAACUGUGGAGGAAUCAAGGAACAUCUAGCAGAGAUUUAAUGUUUUAGGGACUGUUUUUUAUUUCAGAAGGUAAUAAGUGUAAAACAGUCAAACUCUAGGCAUAGGGAUGAACAUUAUUUUGUGUCAUAAAUUUGUCUAAUAUAGUUGCUGCUUCAGCAUCCAGUUUUGGCUUGUCAUGGUCAAGGUGACCAGUCAUGCCCUGUCACCUUUGGUUUUAUUAAAAUUUUCCCUCCUUUAGUGGUUAUUUGUGAUAUAGCCCUGUUGUUCCCCAUCUCACUGACCCCAAAUUCAACACAUGCCACAGCUGCUGGCCACAGUGAAAACUAAUGAUCAACACCAGUCAUGUGAAUAAGACGUCCCUUCAUGUGUUUUCUUUAAGCUAGCCUAUCCACAGCCCCAUGGGAAAGCCUAAAGAAUAGUACCUGUGGAUUAUAAUAAAGACGUCUUACUGGUUCUUGCUCUCUAUCCCUCUCUCUACACACUGGUCAAGUACACUCUUGUCUCCAGACUUCCCAUUGGCCUCCUGUCAACACCUGUACCCACUCUGGACCUGGGAAUAAUAAACUUCUUUUUUUUUUUAAUGUAUUUUGGUUUCACUUCCUCAUUGUAUCUCACCUGACACACACAUACUAUAGUGUUCUCAAUAUUAUUUAAUGUGUUUAACAAAUCAUAACAGAUAAUAUAUGAUUGACACUGUGCCUCCUGAUUUGAUGCAAUAUGGACUAUUCCACAUCACUGAUGAAGUAGUCAUACAAAAAAUAUUUAUCUUGAAUCAAAGCAAGAUUUUAUACCAAAAUUCUAGUUCAAGUUACCUGAUAGAGGAACAUAUUAAACAAUACUAUGUGUAAACAAUACUAUGUGUAAACAAUCAGAAAAAUAAUAGAUUGUAGCCUUCAAAAAACGAUGGCCUUACAAAACAAAUAAACAAAAAGUUUGUGUGGGUGUGUACAUGCAAGGGCUAAUCUCAAAUGCAGAAAGACCAGAAUACAAUAACAAAUAUAAUUCUUGAAAGUGGAUUUCAUCUUGGUUUACCAAAAAUAGCUAUGAGGGAAAUUUGGGUAAGAAUUAGAGAAUUCUGAAUAUAGAAUGAAUUAAAACAUAUUAUGAAUUAAGUUAAUAUUUUUGAUGUUUUCUUUUGAUAUGUUCUUUUAGAAUAUGUAAUAUCCCUAUUUAUUGGAGAUGUGUGCUAAAUUAUUUACAAAUAUUUGGGUAUCUGAAAUUUACUUUCAAAUGCACCAAAAAUAAUAGCUAUACAAAAAGAAAUACAUUAAAUUUACUCUAUAGUAGUAGUUAUUCUUUCUGAGAGGUUUACACAGUAUUUUCCUGUUCUUUUGUAUGUAUGUAUUUUUAAAAGAACGUAGGCCUGGCGCAGUGGCUCACGCCUAUAAUCCCAGCACUUUGGGAGGCCGAGGUGGGCGGAUCACGUGGUCAGGAGAUCGAGACCAUCCUGGCUAACACGGUAAAACCCCGUCUCUACUAAAAACACAAAAACAAAAUUAGCCAGGCGUGGUGGCGGGCGCCUGUAGUCCCAGCUAAUCAGGAGGCUGAGGCAGGAGAAUGGCGUGAACCCGGGAGGCGAAGCUUGCAGUGAGCCGAGAUCAUGCCACUGCACUCCAGCCUGGGCGACAGAGCGAGACUCCGUCUCAAAAAAAACAAAAACGAAAACAAAAACAACAUAAAUAAAUUGAUAAUAUAUCUAUUUUGAUACAGUCAUGGUUAACAUAAAUAAUCCUGGUUAUAUCCAUAUAAAACCAUGAAUAUACAGUAAUAAAUAUUAUAAUUACAAGUAAAUCACCAUAAAUAAAUUCUGUUUUCAAUGUUUCUACU
rnacentral:lncRNA from 10 species